ensembl:misc_RNA Y_RNA Y RNA
GGCUGGUCUGAGGGUAGUGAGUUGUCUCAAAGGAUUGUUCACAAUCAAUCAUAGAGAACUCCUUGUUCUCUCUCCCCACUUUAACACAUAAUUAGUCUUUU